GACGUAGGGUCCAAGCGUUAUCCGGAAUUAUUGGGCGUAAAGAGCUCGUAGGCGGUUUGUCGCGUCUGCCGUGAAAGUCCGGGGCUCAACUCCGGAUUUGCGGUGGGUACGGGCAGACUAGAGUGAUGUAGGGGAGACUGGAAUUCCUGGUGUAGCGGUGGAAAUGCGCAGAUAUCAGGAGGAACACCGGUGGCGAAGGCGGCAUCCUGGACCGACACUGACGCUGAGGAGCGAAAGCCAGGGGAGCAAACGGG
rnacentral:rRNA from 1 species